AGCGAACGCUGGCGGCGUGCCUAACACAUGCAAGUCGAACGUGAAAGGGAGCAUUCCCAAGUAAAGUGGCGUUCGGGUGAGUAACACGUAGGUAAUCUACCCCAGAAUCUGGAAUAACCGGCCGAAAGGCUGGCUAAUACUGGAUAGAGCGACGGAAUCCGUAAUUGGGUUUUUCGGGAAAGGGAGCCUGUAAAAUGGCCUUCGUUCUGGGAUGAGCCUGCGUCCCAUCAGCUAGUUGGUGAGGGAAAAGCUUACCAAGGCAAUGACGGGUAGCUGGUCUGAGAGGACGAGCAGCCACACUGGCACUGAAACACGGACCAGACCCCUACGGGAGGGAGCAGUGGGGAAGCUUGCGAAAUGGACGAGAGUCGGACGCAGAAACGGCGCGCGAGGGAAGAAGGCCGUCGGGUUGUAGAGCUCUGUCGAGUGGGACGAAAAGACUUGGCGUUCUAAGCUUCAGGAGCUGACGGUACCGCUAAAGGAAGCACCGGCUAACUCCGUG
rnacentral:rRNA from 1 species